rnacentral:tRNA from 1 species
UCCGAUAUGGUGUAGUGGCUAACAUUAUCGCCUCUCACGCGAUAGCCCGGGGUUCGAUUCCCCCUGUCGGAA